rnacentral:misc_RNA from 1 species
UUUCCGUAGGUGAACCUGCGGAAGGAUCAUUACUGAGUGAGGGCCCCUCGGGGUCCAACCUCCCACCCGUGUUUAACGAACCUUGUUGCUUCGGCGGGCCCGCCUCACGGCCGCCGGGGGGCAUCUGCCCCCGGGCCCGCGCCCGCCGAAGCCACCUGUGAACGCUGUCUGAAGUAUGCAGUCUGAGACAAUUAUUAAAUUAAUUAGAACUUUCAACAACGGAUCUCUUGGUUCCG